ACUGAGGACAGUGGUGUGUGCCUGCAGUCCCAGCUACUCAGGAGGCUGACAUGGGAGGGUUGCUUCAGCCCAGGAUUUCUGGGUUAUAGCCUAGAUCAGUGCUAUGCUGAUAAGUGUCCACACUAAGUUCAGCAUCAAUAUGGUGACCUCCCAGAAGUGGAGAGCCACCAGGUUGCCCAAGGAGGGGUAUACCGGCCCAUGUUGGAAACAUAGCGGGUCAAAACUCUCGUGCUGAUCAGUAAUGGGAUUGCACCUGUAAGCAGCCGCUGCACUCCAGCCUGGGCAAUAUGGUGAGACCCCACCUCU
ensembl:misc_RNA Metazoa_SRP Metazoan signal recognition particle RNA